AUUGAACGCUGGCGGCAGGCCUAACACAUGCAAGUCGAGCGGAUGAAGGGAGCUUGCUCCUGGAUUCAGCGGCGGACGGGUGAGUAAUGCCUAGGAAUCUGCCUGGUAGUGGGGGAUAACGUCCGGAAACGGGCGCUAAUACCGCAUACGUCCCGAGGGAGAAAGUGGGGGAUCUUCGGACCUCACGCUAUCAGAUGAGCCUAGGUCGGAUUAGCUAGUUGGUGGGGUAAAGGCCUACCAAGGCGACGAUCCGUAACUGGUCUGAGAGGAUGAGCAGUCACACUGGAACUGAGACACGGUCCAGACUCCUACGGGAGGCAGCAGUGGGGAAUAUUGGCCAAUGGGCGAAAGCCUGAUCCAGCCAUGCCGCGUGUGUGAAGAAGGUCUUCGGAUUGUAAAGCACUUUAAGUUGGGAGGAAGGGCAGUAAGUUAAUACCUUGCUGUUUUGACGUUACCAACAGAAUAAGCACCGGCUAACUUCGUG
rnacentral:rRNA from 1 species